rnacentral:lncRNA from 1 species
CUCGGUGUAGGCAUUAAACAAAGUAAACUAAAAACGAAGCUAACAAGAUAAAUGAAAUCAACCAAAAUAAAAAUCCCAUGCUACAUUCUAGAAGAAAAGAAAUAAGUUAAUAUCUAGCAUUCCUAAGAUUCAACACAUUGCCGCUUUCUCCUCAUCAAAAGUAAAGGCAUGCUUCAUUGAAAGGAAAAUAAAAAAAAAAUGUAAAAGAAAGAAAAUGGUGCAGCACUCAAAGAAAUAAAAAAUGUUUCAAAAGGAAACCUCCCAUCAGCCGUGAAUGCUUCCC